ACUGGCAUGAGCUUAGUGCUGGAACAACCCACAUGGAUGGUAGGACUGUAGGAUAAAACCCGCUGUAAACAGAUGUGAGCUAGUAAGGAACACAAGGGGGGUGAAGGGGAAAAUAGGGAAGAGUAUGUUGCUAUGGAUAUACAUAUGCCGAGGAGGUGCAAAUAUCAAUGUCAGAGAAAUGCUCCUGAAAUACAGUGAAAAUGAAUGCUGAUGGAGACAGAUGAUUGCUAAGAGCUAGUUUUGCCAUGUGACAUGCACUCUGCUUAUUGCUUGAUGCUGCUGCACAGACUAGCAAUACAUGUUUGAUACCCAGAGGAAAAUCAAAUUACAACUUCAAUGUGUGGUGCUAUUCUGCAUAUUAUUUACAGUGCAGCCCUGUUUUCACUGGGAUCGCCAGACUGCUGCUUUACAUUAGGAAUGCUACCUCCGGAGACAAAUCAUCUCCUUUUCCUGGGUGGUGGAAGGAUGCUUUGGUGCAGAGAAGUGUGUUGCUGACCAGACCUCCUCCAGAAUCUGACCGGCAUCCCAGAGGUAACUUUUUUUUAUAUAAUUUCACUACUCCUGGUUGUAUGUCAGCUUCAACAGUCAGAUGGUGAGAACUUAAGAAGAUUUAACAACAUGUAGAAUGGGAAUUUGCUCAAGUGAAGAACUACUUGCAAAAUUCAGACAAUUGGAUUUGGUAUUCAGACCCAAUGUUGUAAUUUAGGACCAUCUUUUGUUUACAGCUGUACUUAUUACUGGUAUUAAAACUUCAGGAAUUUUCUGUGGCACAGUGGAAGUCUCAGUGAGAAUCACCGUGUGAAGGUCAAAAGGAACAUUAGAGAAAUUUGGAGGCACAUUAGGGUCUGAGAGGAAAAAAAAAGAACUGUGAGUAAAUUGAAAAAGAACAUUGGAGAACUAUAUUGGGUCUUGUAGUGAAGGACACAGAUUCCUAGUUAGUGGCUUCUGUGAUCAUGUCACUGUUAAAUGAACAGCUGGACCAGCUGCUAUACAGUAAAAAAAAAGUCCAAUUUGCAGUUAUGGUACUAUAAAAACCUUGUAAUCCCUCACUUCCAAUUGCCACAUGAACAUGUCUUUUUGGUAUGAAUAACUGGGUUUACUGCUACAUAAGAAAUAAGAAAUGCAUGUAUUUCAUUUUAUUCAACACGGUUGACCCUGGAGAUGUUCACAAAAUGUGUCAAGCUAUGCAAAUCAAGUCAAAAUAAAUAUAGUAGAAUCAGAUGUUUAGAAUUUGUU
rnacentral:lncRNA from 1 species